UAGUCUUCAUAUUACCUUCUAAAGAUUCUUCCAAGAUUAAUGGAGAAAAAGGUAGAAGACUGUCUGCUGGAAAGAUUAAAUAUGAAGACCUAUUUAUAGACACAAGUUAGGAAAAAAGAAACUGAAGGAAUGAUACUUGGUUGGAUUUAUGGGAAUUUUUAUAAGACUCUCCCAUUUCAAAAACUUAAAAAUAUGAAAGAUUUCAUUUUAUCAUAUGAUUACAAUUUUACAUUGACAGUAUUUGGGGUAUGCUUUACACUUUUACCUUAAAAAAGAUCAAAUAUUAGUGAAAGGCACAAAAUAUAAAGGGAAAAGCCACCCAAUUCCCAAAUUCCCUAAACAACCAUGUUAACAUUUGAUGUAAACCAUUCUAAACAUAUUUCUCUGCAUAUACAGGUACACAUACACACGUAGUGAGAAAGAUAAAUAAUUCUAUGUUGCUUAUAAGAAAACUGGCUCUAAGUACUAAAAAUGAAUCACCCAUGGUCACUCAACUAAUAAAAGUGGCAGAGUUGAGAUGCAGACUCUUCUAACUUUAAAUCACCUUUUCCCCACUGUUAUGUCUUUUUAUAUAUGGUAUCCACUCGUUCCAGGCUCAUUCACCUGUUACUCCUUGAGGAUUACUCACAUCUGGCAUGGUGCAGCCACACAGAUAGGCACAUACACAUAAUCCCUGAUAAAAAAGACAAUUGUCUUGCUUCCUUCAAGCUGCUAUGACAAAAUACCAUCGACUGGGUGGUUCAUACAACAAACAACUAUUUCUCACACUUCUGGAGACCUCAGAGUCCAAGACCAAGGCUCUGGCAGAUUUGGUGUCUGGAGCAGGCCCUCUUUCGGGUUGCAGACGGCUGACUUCUCCCUGUGUACUCACGUGGCAGAAGGGAGAAGGCAGCCCUCUGAGGUCUCGUUCAUCAGGGCACUAACCCUGUUCAUGAGCAGCCCACCCUUAUGACCUAAUCACCUCCCAAAGGCCUCCCCACCUAAUUCCAUCACGUUGAGGAUUAGGUUUCAACAUAAUGAACUUUGAGAGGACAUGAACAUUCAGCCUCUAGCAAUAGUCCUCUCCUUGCCUUUCCAUUUACCUCAAGGCAGAUAAGAAUUAGCCUACUGGCAAGAAUUAAGUAAUCUGUACCUUUCCUACUCUUACAUGCCCAUGCUCAGUAAGCCAAGAGGAGUCAAAGUCCUGGGCACACAGCCCAUACCGACCGCAGUUGGCGCCAUUCUUUGUUUCUAAAGCCAGUGCAACAGACCUUAGCUGUUUCAUCCUGGGCAUUUGAGGAGUCUUUGUGGUGGGUGGGGAUGGAUGGCAGUACAGCAGCGCUCUGGGACUCUGCUAUUAGAGCAAGUGUCUACUUCCCAAGGAAGCGUUCAGGCUAACUACAGGGUCUGCAAGAGCCAUGCCCCUGGAGGGUGGGAAGUGGGGGCACUGAGCUAAUUGAGGGCCAUUGCAAAACAAAGGGGGGCAGAGGGAUGUAUAGAUCAGACACUACACAGAAGAGUCAAUGCUAGGUCUAUGGCUACAGUUAAAUAUUAGACAUUUUUAGGUUUUAGUGACAUUUAUGAUUAAAAACGUCAGAAUUAGAAAGUUAUUUUCUAAGACGCUUCAACAAAAUGAGUAAUUCACAUAUACUUAGAGCGGUUGAAAGAAAUCAUUGUUCAGUGGGAAACUACUAACACCAAGAAACGCUGUACUAUUAGUGAAAAGGCAAUAGCGUUUCUGUGAAGAUACUCACAAAAUCUGAGUUAGGAAAUAAAAAAGUGUGAAAGCAACCAGGGGCUUCAUUUAUUUAGUCCUUCGUCACGUCUGUGUGGUGAGAAAGUGAGAAAGUCAUAGCCUAGACUCUGAGUCCAGGUUCCAGGGGGAGAUCUGCCAACGAGAUGUUAUGGCACAAUGGGCAUCACUUAUUUCUUCAGGUACUUCUUACCCAAGAGUUCUGAGGCAGUCUUAUACCAUGAGAUAUUUUGUAGGAAAUGAUUCUAGAAUCAAGUAAGUUUGGAAAACUCUGCAUAAUAGAUCUCACUUCUUGGAAAAGGCUCAGAAAAAUUCUGCUGGUGUUUCUAAAUCUAACCUGACUGCAGGAUACUUUCUUCAUAUAAUAUCUGGAGCAAAAUUUGGAAAAUACCAUUAGAUAUUUGCCUUACAAACCCUGCUGUGGGGACUCCGUCCAGGUGAGGGGCCUGGAUCAGUUGUGAAGCUGGCAAGUCUAGUCUUGAGAGAGAAGAGGCACUGUGGUCUCUGUGUAUUUUGCUUAGACCCAUAGUUAACCUUGGCUCUCAAAGCUUACCUUUUUGAGAGAGUUAAGAAGAAGGCAGAAAAAUAAAACCAAAGAAAAAAGUCUAGUGACAGUUUUCUCCUUAAAGCCUCUGCUGGCCAGUGUAUAUGUCUAUUCCUAGGCUGACUCACAGCAGCCUGGACCCUGCUCCCCACAUCACAGUACCCACCCCAUUGCACUGUGAUGCACAGUCUCCUUGACUUGGGUCCCUAUCAGAAAAUGAUGAGUUGGGGUACCAUUAAGAAAGCAUUGGCCCAAACAUCCAGGAAUCCCUGAAUCCAUCAUCCCUGUGGGAGGUAUAAGCUCGUGUGUACCCACCCUCACACGGUCUCUCUCUCUCUCUCUCUCUCACACACACACACACACACACACACACACACACACACACACCCUAAAAUACCAGAGUGAGAGAAUGGCAAUCACCUCCUGGAGCUUUCAUUUUAAAGCUGCAGUGCAACACACUAGUGUACCGACUGGACCCCCCCAGACUCAGGCUGCCAGAGGAGCCUAGAAUGGGAAGCAAUCCAAAGACCUCUGUCUACUUCUGUCUCGGAGCCUGAAUCCAGAUCCUGACUCUCGCCUCUGCAACACAAAGGCCAGAGCACCUCAGCUGGUGUGAAGAACCAAAAGAGAAGCAGCAAGUUUGAUCUGGAGUCUGGCAAGGUGCUCCCCUAGGCCAUCUCCCCAGUCCUGAUAGCAGAAUGGGAGAAGGCUCACAGGCAGAGGACCCUCCUGGGGGAGCUGCCUCCAGUCUCAUCUCAUUUCACAAGGGAGAAGAAAGAAGGGCAGGGAGACCCUGGCCUUUCUCCUGCAGGGGGCCAUCUGGGAAGCCGGCUAUAGUGGCCAAAGUGAGCUUAAUCCGCCCAUCCUCCAGCAGCUGGCCUCGUCCUGGGAGAGGAAUGGAGAUGGAAGUGAGGACAAAUACAGGUGGGAGGACAGCCCCUCCUCCACCAGAGUCCACAGGACCUUUCUUUCUUUUUUUUUUUUUAAUUUAUUUAUUUAUUUGGUGGCGCUGGGUCUUAGUUGCGGCAGGUGGGCUCCUUAGUUGCGGCUCACGUGCCCCUUUGUUGUGGCUCGCUGGCUCCUUAGUUGUGGCACAUGUGCUCCUUAGUUGCAGCCAGCAUUCUCCUUUGUUGCAGCUUGCUGCCUCCUUAGUUGCGGUAUGUGUGCUCCUUAGUUGCAGCCAGCAGGCUCCCUAGUUGCGGCUCAUGGGCUCCUUAGUUGCGGCACACGAACUCUUAGUUGUGUCAUGCAUGUGGGAUCUUCCUGGACCAGGGCUCGAACCUGUGUCCCCUGCAUUGGCAGGCGGACUGUUAACCACUGCACCACCAGGGAAGUCCUUUAAGUUACCUAUUUAACUUCUCUUGGUCAAGGCUAAUGAAGACAUAUUAAUGAAAUUAAUUUAAAAUAGCAAAUAUCUGAUUCCUUUUUUCUUUGUAAAAUUGGUUCAAUAACAAAGCAGUUUAAAUGCCCAGUGAUGGUUGAUUUAUUCUCAAUUACUGGAUUUACCUGGCUGCAGGUUAACUGGUUUGGUUUGCAGACUAUCCUAACAGCGCAUGAAGAGAGAUUAUUUUCCUCCCUAGAGAGAUUUUCUCCCAGAGAGCCUCAGUGAUUGAGAGACAGCUGAUAAGAUCUGGUGGUAGAUAUCUCAGUGGGAGGAGCUGUCUUGAUUAAAUCAGGAGCAUGAAACCUGGAGCAUUCCUCUCCUCCCCCAUCAGAUCACCAAGCCCUAAAGCUUGCUUCUUCCUGCUGCAGAAGAGUCAAUGCACUAAUCAGGACGACCUUAUUACUAAACCCACUGCAGCCAACCUUCCCUAGAAAGUGACAAUAUCACAGGUGACUGUAACACCUUAACCAGAUUUAGUCUACAAACCAGUUAACCUACAUUGGAUUAAUAAGGAAUUUAUUACAGUUUGAGGUGGCUUUUUUUUUUUUUAACUGACCUAUAACACACAUAUAGUAAAAUGCCCAAAACUAAGUGUUUUAUACCUCAGGGAACUUUUACAUAUGUAGCCACCAACCACAUCAAGAUAUAGACCUUUUGUGUCGCUCCAGAGGCUGCUUCAUACUCCUUCUCAACACCCACACCCCACAAGGAACCCCACAAGGAACCACCGUUCUCACAUCGGUCACCAUGGGUUAGUUUUGUCAGUUCCUGAGCUUCAUAUAAAUUAAAUCAUACGGUGUGCGCUCUUUUGUGUCUCAACGUUAUGCCUGUGAGAGUCAGCCAUGCUGUUACGUAUAACAGUAGCUUGUUCUUUCUUAUCACUAUACAGCAUUCCUGUGUAUGAACAUACUUCAAUUAUUUAUAUAAUCUACAGUUGAUGGACAUUUGCAUGGUUCCCACUUUGAAUCUAUUAUGAAAAAAAGCUGCUAUGGACAUUCCCGUCGAUGGCUUUUUGUGGUGGACAGACACAAGGCUCAUUUCUCCCAGUACGCGGGUCCCUCACUGCCGCGGCCUCUCCCGCCGCAGAGCACAGGCUCCGGACGCGCAGGCUCAGCGGCCACAGCUCACGGGCCCAGCCCCUCCGCGGCAUGUGGGAUCUUUCCGGACCGGGGCGCGAACCCGCGUCCCCUGCACCGGCAGGCGGACCCCCAACCACUGCGCCACCAGGGAGGCCCCCACAAAUUACUUCUUAAUUGCUAAGUGACAGCUGUAGCUUUUCAGUGGAAAGAUCUGGCUGACACCAACUGAACCAGGUGAUCAAACUUAGUAGCACCCACAAUGAGACUCAAGUCCAUAAUGGGUCUCUGCUGUGACACAUGAGAAGCACCCCAUGUGCUUCACCUGUGCGGUAUCCUUGCCAAAAACAUCUCCCCUGCCUCUAAUCAUGGGAAAGAAAUCAGACAAAUCCACAUCACAGGCAUUCCACAAAAAUAACUUUGGAUGCUGCAAAAAGGUUUGUCUCAAAAGACAGAAAUGGGGAGAGGGGGGUUUUCUAGAUUUAAGGAAACGAAAGAGACACUUUUAAGAGUGGAAACAUUUUUUCCACUCUUUGCAUGUAGGAAAGCCUCCUCGUCUUUCCCAUGUGCAAUGUGGUUCCACAGACAAUAUUGUAUCGCAUAUGGAACGCCUCCAAAGAAGGAAAAUGAGGUCCCACCCCUAAGGGAGUCCAUCAAAAUCGAUGUUUGGGGCUCUGUAGAAAAAGCCAGUCUUUCCCCUGAUCUGGAAAUUCAGGAACCUCCUUCCACUGGGGACUGUACUCCACUCCUUUCCUGCUGAGAAUCAGUGAAUUAGCUAAGGCUUUUCCAUUAACAUAAGUGAUACUCUUAAUACUUGUUGCCCAAAGAGCUGGACUUCUGGGGAUUUGGGGGUUUUUUUUCCCCACCUUUAUGGCUGAACAGUACAAACUAAAGAAAACCCAGGGUACUAUUGCCCUGUGGCCAAACGAGAGCAUGUAAGUAAUCUUGGAGUUUACCUGUGAAACCUGAGUGGAGGAUUUAGGAUAGACGUCAGUUGUCCCCUUUACACCAGCUCAGAGCUUCAUCACAUGCUUCCUUCCUUCCUUCAUUCUUCCCUUUGGCCUCAUUUGUCACCAUACCUUCCAUGCCCUGUGUGGCUGGAUUUUCUCCACAUCCUAAGCACAGUUGCUAUUUAAAGCAUUCACAUUAUUUCCUUUUGAGAAUGAUUUUGGUCUGGUGGUGGCUCUUGUUGUUUUUUUCUAGCAAUAAAUUAUCUCACUUCAGCAAUUUCCGGUGUUUUCAUUCCCCAAUCAGGGAGCUGUGCUUUGUAACUAAAACAAAACAAAGAUACAAGAAACUCUUCUCAUUCACUCAUACCUCUCGUAUUCAUUGUAUAAUUUUUUUUAAUUACAAACUUUUUUUCCCCCUCAAUCAUACAUAACUGAUUUCUCAGCGUUUACUUGAAAGCAGGACAAUAGUGAUUGUGACCUCUAGGACCUCCCAAAGCCACCUAUGGCCAUGGCUUGGGGCCAGGUGGGAAGGACAGGAAAGAAGCCCCAGGGCCAGGGGCAGGAUUGGCUGGGAUACUGGAACCAGCUGGGGAACAAGGACAGAUGCUUCUUGGGACUCAAGGGAGAGUCUUUUCAAGGGUAAGUCCUGGCGGGAGUCCGAGAGGGAGAAAUAUGAUAGUAAGAAGUGGAAAACCCUAAAAUAAUGGCUGGCCCUCUCAUUCUUACUUGAAGGAAUUCCAAAGAGGAGCAAAGGAACACAUCUUUUCUUUUUCUUUUAUUCUAUCUGCGGAGUUCCUGCAGGAUGACUGCGUCUUCUUUUUUUCUUCCUACAAAGCUUUGUCAACCUCAGUUCUGAACAAAUAUCGUCUGACAUAUUAGCACAUCAGUAGCUUAGAAAAAUAUAAUUAAAGGUAACAUGUACUAGAACUGAAUGAUACAGAUACCCUAGUCAUUCACUUUUAAUUACAUUUGGAUGGAUCUUUUGUUGCCAUGGAAACUCUCUAUGCUUAGGAAAUUUGAGAGGCAGGGAUCUCCUCCAAAUUUCACAGUUCUGUAUCUUAGAGAAAUUUCUCGUUCUAUUUAUGAGUUUAGAAGAUAUUCUGCAACUUUCCAUUAGGAUAAAAGGCAAACUUAUCUAUUGUCAGUUGCUCAGAGCAGUUAACUUAAAAGGCAUUGUUUGCUUUUCAUUGUUACAAAUUUCAUUGCUGCAAACAUUGCUAUAAAUUCUAUAUGGAACUAUUUUCUUUAUUGUCUGUAGGUUGGUUGAUUCAUUAAACUUGUAUGUCCAAAAUGGCAGCCACUAGCCACAUUCACAUGUAGCUAUUUAAAUUUAUGUUAGAUACAAUUAAAUAUUCAAUAAAAUGGAAAUAUAAUUCUUCAGUGGUAUUGCUAGUAUUUCAAGUCCCACUAGCCACAUUUUAAGUGCUCGUAGCCUUAGGUAGUUAGUGGCUGUGUAUUAGCAUAGAUAUAGACCAUUUCAAUCAUCACAGACAUUUCUAUUCAACAGCACUACAUUAGAAUAAAAAUUGCUUGCAUCAGAUCUAUUCAAUUUUCUUUGCUCAGAAACAAGAGACUUAAAACAUAUGCAAAGCUAGUUUAUGGGUGUGCAAACUGUGUCGUCAUAAACGGCGUUGCACUUAAGGAGGACCCCAUGUAUGGCUUAAUGCUCUGUUCUCACAAUCUUGAAAUUAAUAAUUUUAAUAACUUUGACCGAGGGACUUCACAUUUAGGCACUGGACUCCUCUCAUAAGAGGUCCCGCACAUAAGAGAUGGCGCUUGGAUGUUGAGUUCUUGGUUUCCCUUCCCUUGUAACAGGUUUUUUUCAACCUCCUCUCCUAUAAUCUUUAAGACUGAGGAAAAACAUUUGGCACAUGGGAUAAAAUUUAGGUGCCUGGAAUCCUUUAGGCCAUCUCAUCAGAGACCCUCAUCAGGGAUUCAGUUUAAAGAAUGUCUGUUCCCAGGAAUUCCAGAAGCCUACAGUUGUGUCCUGGCACCUUCACUAUUAAGGGAAAAUUGAGUUCUCUUUUGAACAGGUGUUUUCUAACAAGGAUUCUCAGUUGCCCACAGUGGAAUUCCUUUCCAUUCAACAGCCUUGCCAGGGCUCAUGUUUAAGCUUUAGCCUGAUUGGUUUUAUUCACCAUUCGUUCAUUCCUUUAUUCUCACUGUCAUUCAUUCAGCAAACACGAAGCAUCUUUUAUAUACAGGACACCGUUACGGCUCUGAAUAAAAAAAUUAUAUGGCACAAACCUACUGUUACCAUCUGGUAAAUUACGUGCUGCAAUUAACCCAACAUUAAGGAUAGAUUCAGGAGGACAGUAAAAUCAAAAGCAGCCUGAGUAUCAUCAAGGGUUUAUUAGCUACUGUCCAUGUUUCCAUGGUCACAUUACAACAAGAACAAUAAAAAGAGAGUAAUGUAGCAACAAUUCUGACUGAUUCGUGUAUUGUGUUAUGAAGGGGAAAGUUUUCUUCCAAACCAAAUUUUGGUUAAUUUUUUUUUUUUAAAUAGGUACAGUGUACCUGCCAAAAAAAGAAAAAAAUAGCACAGAUAAAAGCAGUGUUAGUAAUAGCAAUACAGUAAAUACUAAAGUCAUUUUCACUUACUUUGGGAAUUCAUUGCAUGAGGUGCUUUUCUGAAAAUUCUGAUUGCUUAUUAUGUUUGAAUUAAGCUAACAUUCACAUUGAUGCUGCAUUCCGUGAGCUUACGUGAUUCAAGUGUGUACCAAAUGGCAGAGAGAAGGCAGUUAUGUGAUUAAACCGGCCAACAAAAAUUUGCAAAGCCAGAAACACUCAUACUGAGAACUGAACUGUCAUUAAAAGUAUUUUUCUCUCCUUUCUAUACCUUGGAAAAUUGUACCACAAAAUUGACUAGGAAAUAAGGGAAAACAGAAUACAAAGUAGAAAAAUUAGGAAAAAAAGGGGGGGUGAAGUUAUUAUCCACAGUGUACGCCAGAUGGUCCUGUACUUCUGAAAGCUGAGUUCUUCCUACCUGAUUCUGAGUUCAGGAUAUAAGAACAGCCAGAACCAAGUGCUUUUGGUCCUCAGCAGAAAUCACUGGGUUCUAGGGCACUGAAGUGGGAUGGAUGGUAGACUUUCAUCUCAAGGGAUUUUUCCUUAUUGGCUCCAAGUUUGACUUUCUCUAGUCCUAGUCUGGAAAACUAUACAUUCUAGUGGGAGGUGAAAAGAACAUGUGUAAUGGAAAAUAAUGGCGUGUGAGAUAAAUCUUAUUAGGAAAAGCUGAUUAUAAUCUUACCUCAGAAGACUGAGAUGCUUAAGGAAAUGAAUCGAAUUUUAAAGUUAAUUAGGGGGGCUUCCGUAGUGGCGCAAUUGUUAUGAAUCCACUUGCCAAUACAGAGGACGCGGGUUCAAGCCCUGGUGGUCCGGGAAGAUUCCACAUGCUGCAGAGCAACUAAGCCCAUGUGCCACAACUACUGAGCCUGCACUCUAGAGCCCGCAAGCCACAACUACUGAGCCUGUGUACCACAACUACUGAAGCCCACGUGCCUAGAGCCCGUGCUCUGCAACAAGAGAAGCCACCACAAUGAGAAGCCUGAGUACCACAACGAAGAGUAGCCCCCGCUUGCCGCAAUUAGAGAAAGCCCACGCUCAGCAAUGAAGACCCAACGCAGCCAAAAAUAUAAAUAAAUAAAUUUAUUUUAAAAAAUAAGUUAAUUAGGCAUUAAUAUAUUGCAUCAUUUGUUGAAAAUCCUCCUAAAAAGUAUGUGUUUAAUUUCAGAGUUAAAGUAGCAGCAAGUUUUGGAGUCCAUGUACCUGUUUCCAAGUCCCCAUUAAACAGCCCAUGAAAAUACUGAAAACUAAAAAUUGACAAAAUGCCAAAGUCAAGAUGCUAAAGCCCACACCAGGUGGAAGAAGUUAACUGCAUGCAGACCACUGGCAUGUAGACCCCAGACAGGUUGGACCCAGAAGGUGGAUGAUUGAGAUUCCCAGCACAUCACCCUGUUACCUCACCAUCAGCCAAUCAAAGAAUUGCACACAAGCUGAUCAGGCAUGUUUCCUGUAUAUGAAGAAGACUGACCCCAGAGCUGACCAAAAGUCUCUCAACGGUUGUAACCUUCAGGCUGGACUGUGCCCCUGAGCUAUUUGCUGGGUGUUUCUUGGAUCUUGCUGUAAAAAGGGUGAGACCUCACUGCAAGUCAAUUGAUCUAGCUUCCAAGUGUGUGGGCUGGGAAAGGUCAAAAGCUUCAUUUCAGAGGAAACACUGUCUUCUAAGGCAUUCAUUCAUUCAUUCUUUCAUGUGUGUGUGUAAGAGAGAAGGAGAGAAGCAAAAAUGUUUGUUUACAACAAUAAAACAAACAGUAUGUCAAACGGUGAUACGUUCUAUGGAGAAGAACGAAACAAGGAAAGGUGACAGAGAGUGCUAGGCUGCGGAUGGGGAAACAUCAAGUAGACUAUCUUUUGAUGUGUUUGAAAUAUCUACUGAUAAUCUGAAAUUCGAUACACCUUUGCCUCAUGUGGUGGGUAAAUUCCUUUCUUAACAUUCAACGUUAUAAGAAGCAAGAUCAUUGCACUAGGAAAAGUAGUUGGCUGUCUGAUCCCCACUUCAGGGAGGAAAGGGGAAAAAGUCAUUUAUUGAAGACUCAGCUUUGCUAGGGUUUGAAAUUGUUAGCGCUGUUACAGGGGCAAUUUAUCCAGGCCAUGAACUUCUUUAUGUGCACCUUUGAUAUAACACACUGGGCCAAGUGAAAGUAAUACCUUGGUUCACCCAGAAAAUCAGGAAACAGAACACAGAAGUUGACUGAUGUUGGCCAUUUGGAGAUAGACCAGCCGCAAUGACGUAGACAUUUUCUUAUCAGGUCCAGAAACCCAUGUGAGCCAGGAAACUAUCCUUUCACACUCCCUCCGCUCUAUUAGGCUUCUUCCAGUGCCAGACAGAAGGACCCAGUGCUUCAGAAGUUCCGAUCAGAAUGCUCAGAUGACCACAAUGAAAAUACUCCUGUGUGCCUGCCAAGGCCCACCCAGCAGUGCUAAGCUCUGCAAGGAAGCAGGACCCGGGGACAGGCUGUGAGUUUGAUGCAGACUCUGAAGACGCUGAAAAUCGUAAGAAAUGAUCUUCUUGAAAAUGUACUGGAUUUUGCCAAUUACACUGGAUUGUUCACAAAACCAUUUUGAGGAGCACUGUGCAGAGGCAGGGACACACCAUAAACAUCUAACCACCAGCUGGCCGGCCCUGGGCUAUGAGCGCAGCUGUCGGUGUCAGCUGAAACAAAACCCAAACUUGCAUCUCUCAGAGGGUGGGAAGAUGCUCUGACCUACUCUCCCAUCCAAAAACCCCAGGUGAUGUGCUGAAUGGGGGUGGAAGUGGGAUUGGAGAAGGGCUGCAGAAACCGCGAUGGUGUUCCUGGGGGCACUUUUCAGCAGGAUGGAGGAGAACUGGUUCUUACCGUCUAUAGGGUGCUGGUUGAAGGUUUGGUUCCUACGUCCCUUCCCUGCAGCUGCACGGGCCUCUUGUCCACCUCCUGUGUCAGCCUUGGAGCCGACAUGUCUCCACAGUGUGAGGGCAGGAGCAUGGGUUUCCCAGGCCUGGGACGCAGUCCAGAAGUUAACACCAGUAAGGUCAGGAUUUCCUGCAGCCUCUGCAAUCAAGUUUCCUCAGGUCAGCUGGUUGCACAGAGCGGCCUCCGGAGCCCUCCAAGUAACAUCAUGGGCCCCGCUGUUCUCCUACAAGUUGCUGCCCUUUCCCACACUCCAGGCAGGAAAAAAUCUUUUUAUCCCUAGCUUCGUGCCAGCCCUCAUUUCUGCUCAUCUUGACUCCAAAUUUGAAUCCCAGUUACCUCAAACUGUUCUCAAGAUUUUUAAAGAUGUAGAUCAAGAAAGUCACCCCUUCAGUCCACCCACUGAACAGUUGGGAUGUGACCUGGUGCCUGUGUUGACCGUUCGGGCUACAUUUGCCCUGCUUGGGAGCAGUAAUAACUGCAGUCCUCUUCUUGAACUUGUGCCAAGACAUACUGUAUUUAAGAAGAGUGGAAAUUUCCCCAUGGCAUUUGCUUUCUGAUGUUUUAAAUAUUUGCUUAUUUUUCCCACAGGAAACUUUAUACUUAGUGUACAUUCCUAAAUCGAUUGUUUUUUAUUUUUUUUCCUCCCUGCGUUUCCCUCUUUAGCAAAUCGUUGGGCAGCUCAUCAUGGACGUUUCUGCCAAUGUGACACCUCACAGCAGCUCGAGACAUUCUCCUUUGUGCCGCGUGCUUUGAUCCCUGGCAGCCGGUUUUCUUAUUUGCUCGGUAAAUCUCAGCCGUUGCCUUGUUCAGGACUCCUCUUCCCGUGUAAGAAGCAUCUCCGAAAGCCGAUCAGACCCCAUUAUGUUUUCAUUUCUCCUAGGCUCAGACUCAUGGUUUGCUCCUGAAAACAGCUCCAAGGGCUCCCUGUGGGGCUGGCCAUGGGACGCGAGCCCCAUCAAACUCUCCAAGUCAGUAACAGCUUGCUUCCUGGUUAUAUGUAAAGCACCCCGGCAAAAGGAAAUAGAGACUCGAUAAAGAUAAAUUAGAAGUGGCUGGUCACAGAGAAAAAUUUCCAGUUAGAACACUCUGGGGGAUGGACCAUUUUACAGGAUUUCUUCUUUAUUUUGAGGGGAGGAAAAGCCCAGUCAAAAAAUAUAAUCAGCUCGGGACUUCCCUGGUGGUCCAGUGGUUAAGACUCCACAUACCCAAUGCAGGAGGCACGGGUUCAAUCCCUGACUGGGGAACUAAGAUCCCAGUAUAUAUAUAAUCAACUAAUUUAUAUCUGGCCUGUCAGCCAUCAGAAUAUGCCAGGGAAACACAGGCUGCAAUUCUUGGCUUCACAAUGUCGUUAGGGGCAGCCCUAUGAGGCAGAAAGUGGUGCAAAAUGUCUGCAGGACGGAUAACCAGUACAGAGGGUGGUGUCAGGGAAGCCCUUUGUUUUGGGGAGCCUAAGCCUGGGGGGUGGGGAGGGAGGUGGAGAGACAUCCUCCAAUCUUGGAGACUCUGUCAACAGACUUGGCUGCAGAUCCGGGAGCUUUUGCUGGACCAGGUGGAGACGUUGUGGUCAGCAUCUCUUUCCUUCCCAGGCUUGUCUGUUUCUAUGUAAGAUCAGAGUGGGACUCCAGGUUAGAAGGUGGGAGAUUUCAGUGCUCCGGAAGCACUUUUCAUGGCCAGAUCUAAACUGAGACUCAACUGAAUUCUGUGAGUACCUUUGGAGAAUCUGCUCUACAUAAGCCACCGCGCUAACCACGGCUGUGUCACGACUACACGGCUCGGAAGACCCUGACAACCUAGUCUCUAAGCACAGCCACCCCAGGCUCGUGCUGUCCAAAACCUCAACAGCCACCCGUGGUGCACGCUGGACGCUGCAGUUGUGUUGGAGCCUUGGGAGGAUUCUCCCCACCUUCAGAGAGCUUGUAGCCUGGGGGAUGAAAAGAUUGCUACAGAAACCGCUGUGGAAAAGCAAGCUCAGUGGAAAAAUGGGGGUAACCAAAAAUGAAUUCAGAGCGAACUCAAGAUAUAAGACGCGGGCAAAGGAGGAGGGACAGAGGGGAGAAGAGGAGGCUGGAUUAUCUUGUGGGAGCCUCCCAUGCCUCGUCUUAAAUUGCUAGGUCAUCAAGGAUUGUGCUUUAGGAGAUAACACUGAGAAAAACUGGCCAGGAGACUGGAAGCCAAGUAGAAACACACUUCAUACUGUCAAGGUAAAAGAUAAGGGGGCCUGAACUUGUAUGAUAACAGUCAAAAGGAGAAAAGGCACUGAAUUGGGAGAUGUUUUGAGGCUUAUAAAAAUUUAUUUUGACUCACCGUGAAGUUAAAAGUGAGAAAAUUAAUAAGAAACAAAAUACUGAUGAACCCCAACUUUACUAACAAGAAACAACAUAGUUCAAGAUUUAUAUUGAAACUGCCUUUUGUGUAGGUAACAAAAUGGUCAACAAUCAGUAAUUUCAUGAAAUUCAAAUUUACUUUAUAAUAGGUCCCCCUAAAUAUCCCACUGCAGGAAAAGUAUAACCCCAAACAAAAUAACAUUAAAAGGAAUAAAAAUUAACUGUGAAUACAAGAGAGCACGAAGUCAUUUAUUUAGCAGUGGGACAGGUGAGGGCAGGUUUUAAAGAGAAGACCCAGUUCUUAAGGAGAUUGCCUGUCAGAGAAUUUCCCCAUGGCUUUCAGCCUAGGGCAAAAUUCCAGAGAAAAGUGGUUUAGGUCAGUGAAAGCCCAAUACUUGUUUUGGAAUUAAAGAAGGGUAUUGUAACUAACUUCAAUGUACAAUCUCCUAUACACCACCCUUUGGGGCUUUUCUUAACAGGAGAUUUGAUCCAGAGUUACCAGCAGAGAUUAAAAAUACCUGCAAUGAAACCUUCCCUGAGUCCAUUUUCUGCCUGUGCUCCCUUCACCAUAAUACUUACUGAAGACAGAGUUUAGGAACAAACAGAAAACUUAACACUGCUACGCCAAACGUUAAGCAAACCUUCCAUUACAUGAGGAUGUCAUUAGGUCACCUAGUAAAUGUUAACGCCUACCCAAGGGUGAACACUGUGAAUCUCAGUCAGAAUGCUGCAGCUUGUAGAACUUCCAUAAUUUUCACCUCUAAAUUCUGACCCACAUCAAUGUGCUUCCAAGCCUUUGUUCCCACUGAUUCCUUUUCCUCCCCAAUUCUUUGCUAUUUAAGGAAUGCUAACUCAUCCUUCAAGCCUUGACCCACCCUAGCCUCACCCGCUCCCUAGGACCUUGCAACUUUCAGUUCAUGCUUUUAUUUCCAUUGUAUUCAGUUUGCUUGUCUCCCAAUCUUAGUUUGGUUUUCACUCCUAGAUUCAAUCAAGAAAUGUAAGCCCAAAACUACAUGCUUUUUGUAUUGACCAGUAAAACAAAGGAAAAUAAAUUUCAAGAUUGUAUGC